rnacentral:rRNA from 1 species
GUGGGGAAUCUUGCGCAAUGGGCGAAAGCCUGACGCAGCCAUGCCGCGUGAAUGAUGAAUGUCUUAGGAUUGUAAAAUUCUUUCACCGGGGACGAUAAUGACGGUACCCGGAGAAGAAGCCCCGGCUAACUUCGUGCCAGCAGCCGCGGUAAUACGAAGGGGGCUAGCGUUGCUCGGAAUUACUGGGCGUAAAGGGCGCGUAGGCGGACAGUUUAGUCAGAGGUGAAAGCCCAGGGCUCAACCUUGGAAUUGCCUUUGAUACUGGCUGUCUUGAGUACGGGAGAGGUGAGUGGAACUCCGAGUGUAGAGGUGAAAUUCGUAGAUAUUCGGAAGAACACCAGUGGCGAAGGCGACUCACUGGCCCGUUACUGACGCUGAGGCGCGAAAGCGUGGGGAGCAAACAGGAUUAGAAACCCCAGUAGUCC